CCUACGGGAGGCAGCAGUGGGGAAUAUUGGGCAAUGGGCGCAAGCCUGACCCAGCAACGCCGCGUGAAGGAAGAAGGCUUUCGGGUUGUAAACCUCUUUUCUGAGGGACGAAGAAAGUGACGGUACCUCCGGAAUAAGCCACGGCUAACUACGUGCCAGCAGCCGCGGUAAUACGUAGGUGGCAAGCGUUAUCCGGAUUUAUCGGGUGUAAAGGGCGUGUAGGCGGGAAAGCAAGUCGGAUGUGAAAACUCAGGGCUCAACCCUGGGCCGGCAUUUGAAACUGUUAGUCUUGAGUGAUGGAGAGGCAAUCGGAAUUCCGGGUGUAGCGGUGAAAGGCGUAGAUAUACGGAGGAACACCAGUGGCGAAGGCGGAUUGCUGGACAGUAACUGACGCUGAGGCGCGAAGGCGUGGGGAGCAAACAGGAUUAGAUACCCUUGUAGUC
rnacentral:rRNA from 1 species